rnacentral:rRNA from 1 species
GACGAACGCUGGCGGCGUGCUUAACACAUGCAAGUCGAACGGUAAGGCCCUUCGGGGUACACGAGUGGCGAACGGGUGAGUAACACGUGGGUGAUCUGCCCUGCACUUCGGGAUAAGCCUGGGAGACUGAGUCUAAUAACGGAUAGGACCACUGCCUGCAUGGGGGGUGGUGGAAAGCUUUUGCGGUGUGGGAUGGGCCCGCGGCCUAUCAGCUUGUUGGUGGGGUGAUGGCCUACCAGGGCGACGACGGGCAGCCGGCCUGAGAGGGUGACCGGCCACACUGGGACUGAGAUACGGCCCAGACUCCUACGGGAGGCAGCAGUGGGGAAUAUUGCACAAUGGGCGCAAGCCUGAUGCAGCGACGCCGCGUGAGGGAUGACGGCCUUCGGGUUGUAAACCUCUUUCAGCACCGACGAAGCGCAAGUGACGGUAGGUGCAGAAGAAGGACCGGCCAACUACGUGCCAGCAGCCGCGGUAA